ACAAGCGGUGGAGCAUGUGGUUAAUUCGACGCAACGCGAAGAACCUUACCAGGGCUUGACAUCCCCUGACCGCGUAUGAAAGUACGUUUUCACCCUCGGGUGACAGGGAGACAGGCGGUGCAUGGCUGUCGUCAGCUCGUGUCGUGAGAUGUUCGGUUAAGUCCGCUAACGAGCGCAACCCCCGUCGUAUGUUAUAUGUGUCAUACGAGACUGCCGGUAAAAAGCCGGAGGAAGGUGAGGAUGAUGUCAAGUCAGCAUGACCCUUAUAUCCAGGGCUACACACACGCUACAAUGGUCUGUACAAUGGGUAGCCAAGCCGCGAGGCGGAGCCAAUCCUGAAAGCAGGCCUCAGUUCAGAUUGCAGUCUGCAACUCGACUGCAUGAAGCCGGAGUUGCUAGUAACCGCAGGUCAGCAAUACUGCGGUGAAUACGUUCCCGGGUCUU
rnacentral:rRNA from 1 species